rnacentral:rRNA from 1 species
UACGUAGGUGGCAAGCGUUGUCCGGAUUUACUGGGCGUAAAGAGCGCGCAGGCGGUCGUUCAAGUCGCGUGUGAAAGCCCCCGGCUCAACUGGGGAGGGUCACGCGAUACUGAUCGACUCGAAGGCAGGAGAGGGAAGUGGAAUUCCCGGUGUAGUGGUGAAAUUCGUAGAUAUUCGCAAGAACACCAGUGGCGAAGGCGGCUCACUGGCUCGGUACUGACGCUGAGGUGCGAAAGCGUGGGGAGCAAACAGG